rnacentral:rRNA from 1 species
GAUGAACGCUGGCGGCGUGCCUAACACAUGCAAGUCGAACGGAGUCCAGCCUUUAAGACCUUCGGGUCAAAGAGGGGAAGACUGAGUGGCGGACGGGUGAGUAACACGUGGGCAACCUGGCUCAUAGAGGGGGAUAACAGAGAGAAAUUUCUGCUAAUACCGCAUAAGCACACACCGCCGCAUGGCAGAGGGUGAAAAGAGAAUCGCUAUGAGAUGGACCCGCGUCUGAUUAGCCAGUUGGCAGGGUAAGAGCCUACCAAAGCGACGAUCAGUAGCCGAUCUGAGAGGAUGAACGGCCACAUUGGGACUGAGACACGGCCCAAACUCCUACGGGAGGCAGCAGUGGGGGAUAUUGCACAAUGGGGGGAACCCUGAUGCAGCGACGCCGCGUGAGUGAAGAAGUAUUUCGGUAUGUAAAGCUCUAUCAGCAGGGAAGAUAAUGACAGUACCUGAAUAAGAAGCCCCGGCUAACUACGUG